CAAUAGCGUAUAUUAAAGUUGUUGCAGUUAAAAAGCUCGUAGUCGCAGGUUUGGUCGGAAGCGUGAAGCCCGGUUCCGAGAGGAGCUGUUGUUCGCUUGAAUGUUUUUCCUGGCCAUUUUGGGUGUUUUUGUUCGUUAAGAAGAGAAGCAUCGUCCGUCACUGUGAGUAAAUCAAAGUGUUCAAAGCAGGCUUUUUUUAUUGUAAGCCAUUGAAUGCCAUUAGCAUGGAAUGACAAGAUAAGACCUUGGUUUUAUGUUGUUGGUUUUUUUUAAAAACCUUGUGUAAUGAUGAAUAGGGACAGUUGGGGAUAUUGGUAUUCCAAAGUCAGAGGUGAAAUUCUUGGAUUUUUGGAAGACGAACGACUGCGAAAGCAUUUAUCAAGGAUGUUUUCAUUGA
rnacentral:rRNA from 1 species